rnacentral:rRNA from 1 species
UACGAAGGGGGCUAGCGUUGCUCGGAAUCACUGGGCGUAAAGCGCACGUAGGCGGACUCUUAAGUCGGGGGUGAAACCCUGGAGCUCAACUCCAGAACUGCCUUCGAUACUGGGAGUCUUGAGUUCGGGAGAGGUGAGUGGAACUGCGAGUGUAGAGGUGAAAUUCGUAGAUAUUCGCAAGAACACCAGUGGCGAAGGCGGCUCACUGGCCCGAUACUGACGCUGAGGUGCGAAAGCGUGGGGAGCAAACAGG